CCUACGGGAGGCAGCAGUGGGGAAUCUUGCGCAAUGGGCGAAAGCCUGACGCAGCCAUGCCGCGUGAAUGAUGAAGGUCUUAGGAUUGUAAAAAUUCUUUCACCGGGGACGAUAAUGACGGUACCCGGAGAAGAAGCCCCGGCUAACUUCGUGCCAGCAGCCGCGGUAAUACGAAGGGGGGCUAGCGUUGCUCGGAAUUACUGGGCGUAAAGGGAGCGUAGGCGGAUAGUUUAGUCAGAGGUGAAAGCCCAGGGCUCAACCUUGGAAUUGCCUUUGAUACUGGCUAUCUUGAGUAUGGGAGAGGUUAGCGGAACUCCGAGUGUAGAGGUGAAAUUCGUAGAUAUUCGGAAGAACACCAGUGGCGAAGGCGGCUAACUGGCCCAUUACUGACGCUGAGGCUCGAAAGCGUGGGGAGCAAACAGGAUUAGAUACCCUGGUAGUCCACGCCGUAAACGAUGAGUGCUAGUUGUCGGCAUGCAUGCAUGUCGGUGACGCAGCUAACGCAUUAAGCACUCCGCCUGGGGAGUACGGUCGCAAGAUUAAAACUCAAAGGAAUUGACGGU
rnacentral:rRNA from 1 species